CAUUCAAGGCUACCCAAUGACAAUAAAUAAAGUUAAACUUGCUUGAAGUUUAAUGGCAGGAGGCCUGUUUCCUUGGCAACAGUGCAGAAGUAAUUCUUCAUUGCCUCCUUGCAGGAUUUUAUUCACUCUCCUAGUCUAGUCUACUACCCUAAGAUAUCUUAGGGGCCUCCCAGACAAGAACUAAACAGGCCUUACUCUGCUUUGCUGUCUAGACCAGCCGUAAAUUUGCUAGUUGCUGCCACCUAUUGACAAUGAGGCAAUAAAGAGAUUCCCUAGAGAAGCCAUAAGUCUAAUUGCAUCUCCUUCUUGCUAGGUUUCGUAAUAUCCUUAGGUGGUGUUACCUUGCUUUGCAUUCUCGGUGGAUUGGGCAUGCUGUCACUGGUGGUUUCCGGAAUGCUGAGCAUUUGUUACCUGUCUCUUACAACCCUGCUCAGCUACUGGCCCAUUCAAGAGGGCCCGUCGAAGAGAGAGAAUGCCAACGGAAGCGGUUUUAUCUCCAAGAACAUUUUUGACGAAGAACCAGAAGCGACUAACAAGGAGUGAAUAAAUUGGAUAGCGGCUCAGAAUGUCUCCAAUAGUAGCACUUUAGGGGUGGGUGAGGGAAAUGUAGCUGGGAAAAACAUCCUUGUUACUGUAGUCCAUAGAAUUGUUUACCCACUGAGAGAGGAUCAGGGUUCAGCUUCUUAUUACGGGAAUUAGAGACGGAUUUCUCCAGAGGCUGCCCCGAAGAUAGCCGAGCCCUCGCUCCGAUUAUUUCGGGAACCUUCUCGGCAGCUUUUAGGCAGGACGGCUGCUCCUGGAGUCCAGGAACCCAACGACCGUGUUAAAUUUAACGUGGGAAGCGGGACAGGGGGAUCUCUUUAAGACCGACUGCAUUGCUGGCAACAGCAAACGGAACAGAAAUACAGGCAGUGGUGGAGACACCCAAUUAAAGCCGGUGCAUCUCUUCCUGGUUGCAUUUCGGUUGGGGUUAGGUCAAACAUUUUUGAUUCUUUGUUUCUCGGGUAUUGGGGGAUUGUGUUUUACCAUUUUUUUGUUGUUGUGUUUAGCAGCUUGGCAGAAAGCUGGUUGGUUAAGCACAGGGGCUUCUCUUACGCCGGAUAUCGGUCACUUCUAGCCCUAGUUUGAAUUUUUUUUUAAAAGUGUUUUUCUUCUGCUUUGUUGCUAAAGCUGUCGUCAGAUAUACAUUUGCCACUAAACUGUUACUUUUCAUC
rnacentral:lncRNA from 1 species